GAGGUUUUGGCAGAAAAUACACAAGCAAGGUGAGGUGAAUCAAAAAAAAUCUGCUGCAGUGCUAUGUUGCUUGUUGUGGUCAUGAAUUUUGACAGUUUUUCUCUUUCAAUUCUGCUGUUAGAAACUGCUAUUGUGACUUUUAAACAGCACUUGCCAUUUUGACAAAUGCCAAGCAAACCUGUUUUUGCAUCAGUUGACCUUUUGUUGGUCUGCUAGGUUUCAUCUCCUUGCAGCACAUG
rnacentral:lncRNA from 1 species